CCCAGUUCUCCACUUGCAGGGACCUAUUGAAGUUGUGGAUGGAGAUAGAUUGGUAUGCCCCAUGGAAGGAUUUCUUGUUGUUUUCCUUUUUAUUAAGUUUCCCGGCUGCGCCAGUUACCUCCGGGGAGCUUCGUGAGGUAUUGUAAUGCGGAAGACGGGGGGUUGUGAGGAGGAAUACGAUCAGUAAUUUGUUGCGAGAAUCAGUGAUUUAUUUCGAGAUUUUAACAUGGAUAUGUCCACAAGUUCUUGGUGCUCAACAUCGACUGAUCGUCGCAUUUUCCUUUCGUCUUAAAUAAGCUAAUAGUGAAUAUGUAUGUAUGUGUUACAAUGUUAAGGUUCUUAGAAAUAAAGUAUCUGACACAGCAGAAAGUAUAA